UACGUAGGGGGCAAGCGUUGUCCGGAAUUAUUGGGCGUAAAGAGCGUGUAGGCGGCCAGAUAAGUCCGCUGUGAAAUCUCGAGGCUCAACUUCGAGCUGUCGGUGGAAACCGUUUGGCUAGAGUCCGGAAGAGGAGAGUGGAAUUCCCGGUGUAGCGGUGAAAUGCGCAGAUACGGUCGAAGAACACCCGUGGCGAAGGCGGCUCUCUGGGACGGUACUGACGCUGAGACGCGAAAGCGUGGGGAGCGAACAGG
rnacentral:rRNA from 1 species